AGCGAACGCUGGCGGCAGGCUUAACACAUGCAAGUCGAGCGGGCCCUUCGGGGUCAGCGGCAGACGGGUGAGUAACGCGUGGGAACGUGCCCUUCGGUUCGGAAUAACUCAGGGAAACUUGAGCUAAUACCGGAUACGCCCUUAUGGGGAAAGGCUUGCUGCCGAAGGAUCGGCCCGCGUCUGAUUAGCUCGUUGGUGAGGUUAUGGCUCACCAAGGCGACGAUCAGUAGCUGGUCUGAGAGGAUGAUCAGCCACACUGGGACUGAGGCACGGCCCAGACUCCUACGGGAGGCAGCAGUGGGGAAUAUUGGACAAUGGGGGCAACCCUGAUCCAGCCAUGCCGCGUGAGUGAUGACGGCCUUAGGGUUGUAAAGCUCUUUUCUCCGGGACGAUAAUGACGGUACCGGAGGAAUAAGCCCCGGCUAACUUCGUGCCAGCCGCCGCCGCCG
rnacentral:rRNA from 1 species